GAUCUGAUAGCAAAGUUGGUAGUGCAUCUGCUCAAAAUUAACUUUCACGGUGGGUUAAGCAGAAGACCCCGUUCGAUUCGGGGUCAGGUCA